UAGUAUCUGUUAAUAUCAGGAUGGUGUGAAUUGAUUUUUAUAAAGGUUUGACAAAAAGUCUUAGCACAAGCCGUCCACUUGCUGGAAAUUCUUUUUCAUCCGCUGAUGAUGGCCACUAGUGUUGUAGUGCUCGAGAUCGGUCUUGGUUUCGAGACCGCUUUUCGAAGGUCUCUGUCUCGUCUCGGAACUGACGGCACUUUUACUCGGCCUUGUCUCGGUGUCAGACGAAGACGAGGCUGAGCUAUCACUGCACACACUUGCUGUUGUCGUGUAGGUUGAUGACAUUGCAGACAUUUUGACUUGUCAUAGUAGGUAAAGCAAGGAGUUACUAUUAACAGUGACAAUGGCUCUGUUCUAUUCAAGUGUCCCAGUGUGACAGUGAGCCAGCAUGAACAACACCAGGACCCUGAAACUGAAGCAGCUAAAUGCAAUUCAGCCAUCAUUCAUUCUGUUACUGCCAACUUUUCCUACUGUGACAUGACAACAUGUCUUCUGUGAAAAAGACCGAUUGUGUAAACUGAGUAAAGUAUUUUAGUUAUUUUUUUCUCUAGCUGUUUGUCAUGCCUGUGCUGCUGCUGCUGAAUGAUAUAACAGUGGACUCAACUGGUGGGUAUAUCCAGACUGGCUGACACCACACCUCUUCUUACUGGGAUAAAUACUGGCUGACCUCACACACACACACACACACACACACACACACACACACACACACAGAGUAGUAAUUAACCCUGCAAUGUGGUGUGGGUUUGUGACAUUUCCCUGCAGCUUGCUGAGCCUUUGAUGGAGGCAGGAGUGGCAUGUUGUUUGUCCUAUGACUGAAUAGUUUGGUCACAUCUUUCGAACAUAGCUCAUGUCUUUGGAUUGAAGCUGAUCAACUACUGAAAUCAUGCAAUACUCUCCAGCAUGCAGCAGUCUGCUAUUUUUCUUCUGUGUUGAACAUGCUGAGUGUGUGACAUUUAGGUGUGACAACAGCCAUCAAGGAUGAAAUGUAAAAAGGCAAGUGGUUGCACCGCCAUUACCUCCACUUCGUCCCUGCCUGCUCUGGAUUCCAAAUCCCGGUUUUCUUCCCCCAUUUCCGUAUUUAUUAAUAAACAUUUUUACCUUCAUACCCCUUGUCUGAGUCCAGCGUUUGAGUCAAGCCUUUUAGUAAACCGUAACAGAAUCUUUCAGUCACUAGUCUGUAUUCAUGACCACCGUUGCAAGUUAGAACAUGGAGCCAUUGGUCAAUUGAGAACUUCACCUUCAGACUCAAUUCCCUCUUCAUCAUAGCAGUUCUGUAUAAUGUUUGCAUCACUGCAAACGCCACACCAAUCCUCAAUGUCGAUCUCACACUUCAUUUUACCCUCACUUCAAAUCUAAUUACCUCAGUAACCUCCAUCUUGCAAGACUGCCUAACAGCUAUCAAAGACUGGAUGUCAGAUAACUUUCUCCAAGUCAACCCCGACAAAACAGAAGUCCUUAUCAUAGUCCCUGAGAGCAAAAAUCAUUCAUGUUUUUGUUUCCUCCCAUCUUGAUUAUUGCAAUUCACUGUUCACAACCCUGAGCCGCUCUUCUGUGUCUAGGCUUCAGUUGGUCCAAAAUGCGGCUGCUAGACUUUUAACGAACUAACACGACAUAGGUCACACAUUACACCAGUCUACAUUGGUUACCCAUAGAUUGCAGAAUUGAUUUUAAAAUUCUUUUAAUCACCUAUAAAGCACUACAUGGGCUUGCCCCACUGUGUAUUUCUGAAUUAUUGUGUCCCUUAGCCACGGUGAGACCAUUUAAGUCUACUGACCAAGGUCUUCUGGCUGUCCCGAGAACUAGGCUGAAAACCAAAGGUGACCGAGCUUUUGCAGUUGUGGCUCCCACCCUCUGGAACCUUCCCCUAAAUAACUCUGAGUCAGUUGAAUGUUUUAUGAAGCUGUUAAAAAGCCACCUGUUCCGUAAGCACUUUGUCCUGUAAUGUGUGUUUUACCCUCUACGUAGUUUUUAUUGUUUGUGUUCAACUACUGUGCUUGCCUCCUAUGUAGUUUUUUUUAUUGUAGUUUUUAUUGUUUGUGUGUUCGACUUCUGUGUUUGCCCUCUGUGUAGUUUUAUUGUUCUUUAUUUAAUGUUUUCUUGUUUUUAAUUUUGUAUUUUUCUUCAAGGUUUGCAUUGUACAGCACCUUGUAACUGGUUUUGAAAGGCGCUUUAUAAAUAAAUUUUACAUACUUACCAUUUGUGGCAAGACCUUGAGGCACCUGAACUUCUUCUCAUUGAACUGCUUCCCAUUUGCAAACUGGAUAAACCUAGUAGCUGUUCUGGAAAUGUCAAAAUUGUGAUGGAUUGGAGCUUACCUCAGCAGGAGAGGAUUAGAUUUAUGGAGACAAUGACUUAAUAAUUGUGUUUCUCACAGUGUGAAUGCAUGUCAUUGAGUGCUAUUAUUGGGCAUCUAGAGGCAAGAUAUUGUUGAAAAUGAUUGGGUAUAUGCAUGGUUUCUAAUGUAGAUUCUAGAUAUUGUACAAGAUAUAGUAUGUGAAUUUGGGACUCAUUUAACAUUGUCAUGACAUCAGUUUUUUGUUUCUAGGUAUAACAACUAAACUGGUCGGAAAGCUUGAAAAGGUUGAAAAAGUCUCAAAGGCUAAAAUCUCCACCAUUGACCUCGAGAUAGGAAGUAUGAGGAGACCUUGGAGUCCUUGAGCAAGGUACUCCUUUUAGGCCCCUUGGUGGUUAAGGUGACCUUAACUAGAUCCUGACCGAUACUGGCUAUUUGAGACUUGUAUACAUUUUUGAGAGUUUAAAUAUCAGAUAAAAAUAUAUCGGCCAGUCUGAU